UACAGAGGUCCCGAGCGUUUGUUCGGAUUCAUUGGGCGUAAAGGGUGCGUAGGCGGUCUUCUAAGUUUGAUGUGAAAUCCCGGGGCUCAACCCUGGAAUUGCAUUGAAUACUGGAGGACUAGAGUACCGGAGAGGAAACUGGAAUUUACGGUGUAGCAGUGAAAUGCGUAGAGAUCGUAAGGAAGACCAGUGGCGAAGGCGAGUUUCUGGACGGUAACUGACGCGUGAGGCAC
rnacentral:rRNA from 1 species